UACGGAGGGUGCGAGCGUUGUCCGGAAUCACUGGGCGUAAAGGGCGCGUAGGCGGCCUGAUAAGUCGGGGGUGAAAUCCUGCGGCUUAACCGCAGGGCUGCCUUCUAAACUGUCAGGCUGGAGCACAGUAGAGGCAGGUGGAAUUCCCGGUGUAGCGGUGGAAUGCGUAGAGAUCGGGAAGAACAUCAGUGGCGAAGGCGGCCUGCUGGGCUGUUGCUGACGCUGAGGCGCGACAGCGUGGGGAGCAAACAGG
rnacentral:rRNA from 1 species